rnacentral:ribozyme from 12 species
UUCCUGUAAAUCCAAACACAGAUAAUGGAUUCAUUAUGCCUAGAAGAAGUAAGACGGGUGCUAAUUUUGUAUAUUUUCCCAUUUUUGUCGUUGUCAUUGGCAUUUUUAUGUUCCUUUCUUGACGCCGGUUUUCUUCCUUUUUUUUGCGCCUCUCUUGUAAGAUU